AUGCAGCUCGUUCCUGGCAAAGCCAGAACUCAGUUCAGGCCCCUGAUUCCAAGGCAAAGGUUCUCUUCCUCUGUACCGCUGCUGGCACCCUGCAUAAGGCCUCUUUCCUCUUUCUCCUUUAUGUCCCUCAUCCUUCUCUCUGCCCCUUCCCCUCUGAAUCUACCCCUCCUCCCCUUCUUGAUUUUCUCUGCUCUAGCCAGCUGGUUCCCUGUUUUUCUCUCUUUGCCCAUGUUUCUGUCCCUCUAUUUUCUUUUCUUCUUCCAGGUUCCUUCUUUUUCAUUUUUUCAUCCCUGAGUGUGUCUCCUUGUCUUUCUCUCCUCUUCUUCUUUCUUUAUUCUUGGUCUCUAGGUGUCUCUGUCUCCCCUUGCCUUUCUCUCCAGGUCGUUCUGUCUUCCCUUUUUCUUAUUCCUGAGCUCUAGAUUUCUCUAUGUCUCCUUGCAUUCUCUUUGUCUCUGGGUGUCUCUGUCUCUCUUAAUCUUUCUCUUCAUCUCUUUCUCUCUCCCCCACCCAGCUCCCCCAUUCUUGUUCUUGAGCCCAGAGUCUGUUUCUCCGUGUCUUUUUAUUCUUCUCUGUGUGUAUGUCGUUGUCUUUCUCUCUGGGUCUUUUUCUCCCUCUCUCACUUUCUCGGCUUCUGCCUCUGCUUGCUCUGCGCCUCCCUCCCCAGCUCGCCUGCUCUCUCUGCUCUGCUCUGCUCUGCUCUCCGCCCUGCCUGCCCGAGCAGCCGGUUCAUGGGGAAUGUGAAUGAUUGUCCUGAGGGACAUUUGAUGGAUUAGAGAGCUAAACAGUUCCAUUGCGAGAGGACCACCUGAUCUCCAGCCUGCGUCCCAUAUAAAGCCGGCAGCCGGACUGCUGAGCUCAGCGAGUGUGCCAGGCAGAGCCGCCUCCCCUCCCCUCCCCUCCCCUCCUCUCCGCCCGGGCCCUCCCUGCCUCGCUGCCUGGGGACCGCAUGCGGGUAGCGCAGGGAGCUGUCCAGUGCUGAAGAGCCCGCUCUGUGAGGCAACAGCGUGCACUUCCCUUCAAGCCUGCAACCCCCACACCCCCAAGCUUUCCCCCCUCCCCUUCCAGGGCCCCAGUGAAGUUCCCCGCCGGGCCGGCUCCGG
rnacentral:lncRNA from 1 species